GGCCUGGUUCCCUUUGCCACUCCUGCCUUCUGCCAGGGCCUCGGAGCCGGGCUUCGUGCUGAGCUUCUUGCUGGGAAAGCAGGAAGGUCCUCAGGGAUUUCAGGUUUUCCUAAACUCCUCUGGAGAUGGUAAGCCAAGGAGCCUUUCAGGGAAUGGAAAAGCUCCACACAAACGCUGCUCCUGAAGGUGAAGGCAGAACUGCUGUCUCACCACACACAGCAGGCGCCUGGAGUUUGACCCAGGACAUUUUGGGAAGCUGCCUGCAUUUCUGCCUUCACGGCGCUGGGGCUGCAAAGCUCUCAGGGCCUGGCGGCUGAUGGAGCAAUGACUGCUGCAGACCUCCCACGCCACUCCGGCAGAACACGGCUUGCAACAAGCAGAUGUCAAAUGCAUCGAUGGGAAAUUCAUUUUAGAAAUUUCAUUGUAGGUGUUCCCAGCUCCUAGAAUAUCAGCUUUGAAGCCUGUAG